UCUGGUGACGAUGGCACGGAGGUCACACCUGUUCCCAUGCCGAACACAGAAGCUAAGCUCCUUAGCGC
rnacentral:rRNA from 1 species